rnacentral:rRNA from 1 species
UACGUAGGGGGCAAGCGUUGUCUGGAUUCAUUGGGCGUAAAGAGCGUGUAGGCGGCCAGGUAGGUCGGUUGUGAAAACUGGAGGCUCAACCUUCAGAGGUCGACCGAAACCAUCUGGCUAGAGUCCGGGAGAGGAGAGUGGAAUUCCUGGUGUAGCGGUGAAAUGCGCAGAUAUCAGGAAGAACACCAAUGGCGAAGGCAGCUCUCUGGGACGGUACUGACGCUGAGACGCGAAAGCGUGGGGAGCGAACAGG